rnacentral:ncRNA from 1 species
AAGGUAUCCAAUGAAGUUCCCCAUGUCCUUGAAGGGAGUUAGUCCCGUAGAAGGCGUGGGGAG